rnacentral:rRNA from 1 species
UACGAAGGGGGCUAGCGUUGCUCGGAAUCACUGGGCGUAAAGGGUGCGUAGGCGGGUUUUUAAGUCAGGGGUGAAAUCCUGGAGCUCAACUCCAGAACUGCCUUUGAUACUGAAGAUCUUGAGUUCGGGAGAGGUGAGUGGAACUGCGAGUGUAGAGGUGAAAUUCGUAGAUAUUCGCAAGAACACCAGUGGCGAAGGCGGCUCACUGGCCGGCUAGUGACGCUGAGGUGCGAAAGCUAGGGGAGCAAACAGG